GGACUACCGGGGUAUCUAAUCCCGUUCGCUCCCCUGGCUUUCGCGUCUCAGCGUCAGCAAACGUCCAGGACCGCGCUUUCGCCACGGGCGUUCCUUCCGAUCUCAACGCAUUUCACCGCUCCACCGGAAGUUCCCGGUCCCCCUACGUUCCUCCAGACCGGUCGUAUCGGCGCCCGUUCCCCGGUUGAGCCGGGGGAUUUCAGCGACCGACGUGCCGAUCCGCCUACACGCGCUUUAAGCCCAGUGAUUCCGAAUAACGUUCGCACGGUUCGUCUUACCGCGGCUGCUGGCAC
rnacentral:rRNA from 1 species